rnacentral:rRNA from 1 species
UGGGGAAUAUUCCGCAAUGGGCGAAAGCCUGACGGAGCAAUACCGCGUGAGGGAGGAAGGCUCUUGGGUUGUAAACCUCUUUUCUUAGGGAAGAUAAUGACGGUACCUGAGGAAUAAGCAUCGGCUAACUCCGUGCCAGCAGCCGCGGUAAUACGGAGGAUGCAAGCGUUAUCCGGAAUGAUUGGGCGUAAAGCGUCCGCAGGUGGGCAUUCAAGUCGGCUGUGAAAGAGCGAAGCUUAACUUCGAUAAUUGCAGUGGAAACUGAAAGUCUAGAGAGCGAUAGGGGUAGAGGGAAUUCCCGGUGUAGCGGUGAAAUGCGUAGAGAUCGGGAAGAACACCAGUGGCGAAAGCGCUCUACUGGGUCGCGACUGACACUGAGGGACGAAAGCUAGGGGAGCGA